CCGAAUCCCUGUACGAUCACCGAAGUUAAGCAACGUUGAGUCUGGUCAGUACCUAGAUGGGUGACCAUUUGGGAAUACCAGGUUUUGUA